GUGCCAGCCGCCGCGGUAAUACGAAUGGGGCAAGCGUUGUUCGGAUUUACUGGGCGUAAAGCGGGCGUAGGCGGCCGGCUAAGUCGGAUGUGAAAUCCCGGGGCUCAACUCCGGAACUGCAUUCGAUACUGGUCGGCUAGAGUUCGAGAGGGGGAUGCGGAAUUCCGCGUGUAGCAGUGAAAUGCGUAGAUAUGCGGAGGAACACCUGGGGCGAAGGCGGCAUCCUGGAUCGACACUGACGCUGAGGCCCGAAAGCGUGGGGAGCAAACAGGAUUAGAUACCCUGGUAGUCCACACCGUAAACGAUGAAUGCCAGACGUCGGGUAGCAUGCUAUUCGGUGUCACACCUAACGGAUUAAGCAUUCCGCCUGGGGAGUACGGUCGCAAGAUUAAAACUUAAAUGAAUUGACGGGG
rnacentral:rRNA from 1 species